AAAAUCGGCGCUCCAGCAGCUGGGACCUAGGCGUGAGAGCGUUGAAUCAUGAGUGGCACCGUUCGCAAAAAUUGGUAUCUUUGUACAAAGACAGUGCCACAACUCAGUGACCAUCGGGAGAGCAGCCUCAUGAUGGGCGAUGCUCCAUCAGUUGUUUCUCUUGCAAUCUUUUGCAUAGAUCGGUCCGGCCCCGCAUAUGGCGAUGAGGACUCAAGAGACACGGAAAACGUUUUCUUUCUGGAAAACAUGAAAUAGGCUUUGUAGAUGGACAGGAGGUCAAGUGACAAGCGGUGCGCUGCAGAGAGCGAGGACCCACUCUUCUAUUCCUUUGCAGAGGCACGGACACACGGUGUGGCCCGAAACAGCGGCAGGAGAGUGAGACCCGGGCUCCGACCGCGGUGACGGAGUCUCACUCUGUCACCCAGGCUGGAGUGCAGUGGCGCGAUCUUGGCUCACUGCAACCUCCAACUCCCCGGUUCAAGUGAUUCUCCUGCCUCAGCCUCCCGAGUAGGUGGGACUACAGGUGCCUGCCACCACACCUGGCUAAUUUUUUGUAUUUUUAGUAGAGACGGGGUUUCACCGUGUUAGCCAGGGUGGUCUCCAUCUCCUGACCUGGUGAUCCGCCCGCCUUGGCCUCCCAAAGUGCUGGGAUUACAGGUGUGAGCCACUGUGCCCGGCCUAAAAAUUUUUAAAAUUGUGUACAUUAUGUUUUUUUACCACAAUUUAAAAAAUUAAUUUAUAAUAUACAUGCAGAAAAAUGCACAAAUGACAAGUAUAUAUCUUGAUGAAUUUUCACAAAUGGAAUACAUUUGUGUAACCAGCAGCAGAUCAAGAAACAGAACAUUGCUAGUGCCCCAGAAGCCACUUGUGUGUUCCCUCUCAGUCGCUGCUCUUCUCAAGGACAACCACUCUUCUGACUCCUGAUACCAUAAACUAAUUUUGCCUGUUCUUGCUUUUUAUAUAAAGAGAAUCACAGAGUAUGUA
rnacentral:antisense_RNA from 1 species